rnacentral:rRNA from 1 species
AACGAACGCUGGCGGCAUGCCUAACACAUGCAAGUCGAACGAGACCUUCGGGUCUAGUGGCGCCCGGGUGCGUAACGCGUGGGAACCUGCCCUUAGGUUCGGAAUAACUCCCCGAAAGGGGUGCUAAUACCGGAUAAUGUCUUCGGACCAAAGAUUUAUCGCCUUUGGAUGGGCCCGCGUUGGAUUAGCUAGUUGGUAGGGUAAAAGCCUACCAAGGCGACGAUCCAUAGCUGGUCUGAGAGGAUGAUCAGCCACACUGGGACUGAGACACGGCCCAGACUCCUACGGGAAGCAGCAGUGGGGAAUAGUGGACAAUGGGCGAAAGCCUGAUCCAGCAAUGCCGCGUGAGUGAUGAAGGCCUUAGGGUUGUAAAGCUCUUUUACCCGGGAUGAUAAUGACAGUACCGGGAGAAUAAGCUCCGGCUAACUCCGUG